rnacentral:ncRNA from 2 species
UUGACGAAACAGGGGUGCUUCGGCGCGCGUCUCCCGGCUUGAACGAACGGAGAACCGCGCGGCGAGGCUGAGAGAGUCCCUUCGCACCCGAUCCGGGUAAUACCGGCGAGGGAAGUUUCCGGAAACGCGAU